UAUAUUAUGGUGUAUGGUGCACAGAAAUUUUUGAUAUUUCUGGUGAUAGUUUAAUUCUAUUUAAUAUAA
rnacentral:tRNA from 1 species